CAGGGAUACUGGAGUGAUGGAGGUAGAUAUGUAGAGGAGACAGGGAUACUGGAGUGAUGGAGGUAGAUAUGUAUAGGGGGAAGGGGACAGGGAUACUGGAGUGAUGGAGGUAGAUAUGUAUAGGGGGAAGGGGACAGGGAUACUGGAGUGAUGGAGGUAGAUAUGUAUAGGGGGAAGGGGACAGGGAUACUGGAGUGAUGGAGGUAGAUAUGUAUAGGGGACAGGGAUACUGUAGUGAUGGAGGUAGAUAUGUAUAGGGGACAGGGAUACUGGAGUGAUGGAGGUAGAUAUGUAUAGGGGGAAGGGGACAGGGAUACUGGAGUGAUGGAGGUAGAUAUGUAUAGGGGACAGGGAUACUGGAGUGAUGGAGGUAGAUGUGUAUAGGAGACAGGGAUACUGGAGUGAUGGAGGUAGAUAUGUAUAGGGGACAGGGAUACUGGAGUGAUGGAGGUAGAUGUGUAUAGGAGACAGGGAUACUGGAGUGAUGGAGGUAGAUAUGUAUAGGAGACAGGGAUACUGGAGUGAUGGAGGUAGAUAUGUAUAGAGGACAGGGAUACUGGAGUGAUGGAGGUAGAUAUGUAUAGAGGACAGGGAUACUGGAGUGAUGGAGGUAGAUAUGUAUAGGGGACAGGGAUACUGGAGUGAUGGAGUUGGAUGUGUAUAGGGGACAGGGAUACUGGAGUGAUGGAGGUAGAUGUGUAUAGGGGGAAGGGGACAGGGAUACUGGAGUGAUGGAGGUAGAUAUGUAUAGAGGACAGGGAUACUGGAGUGAUGGAGGUAGAUGUGUAUAGGGGACAGGGAUACUGGAGUGAUGGAGGUAGAUGUGUAUAGGGGACAGGGAUACUGGAGUGAUGGAGGUAGAUAUGUAUAGGGGGAAGGGAUACUGGAGUGAUGGAGGUAGAUAUGUAUAGGGGGAAGGGGACAGGGAUACUGGAGUGAUGGAGGUAGAUGUGUAUAGGGAACAGGGAUACUGGAGUGAUGGAGGUAGAUAUGUAUAGGGGGAAGGGGACAGGGAUACUGGAGGGAUGGAGGUAGAUAUGUAUAGGGGGAAGGAGACUAUAUACAGGGUCAAUUCCAGUUUAUUUUUGUCACUGGAGGUUGGUGGCACCUUAAAUGGGG
rnacentral:lncRNA from 1 species